CCUACGGGAGGCUGCAGUGAGGAAUAUUGGUCAAUGGGCGGGAGCCUGAACCAGCCAAGUCGCGUGAGGGAAGACGGUCCUAUGGAUUGUAAACCUCUUUAGGCGGGGAGCACUGCCGGGCACGUGUGCCCGGAGGGAGAGUACCCGCAGAAUAAGCAUCGGCUUACUCCGUGCCUGCAGCCGCGGUAAUACGGAGGCUGCAAGCGUUCUCCGGAUGUAUUGGGUUUAAAGGGUGCGUAGGCGGAUUUUUAAGUCAGCGGUAAAAUGUCCGGGCUCAACCAGGGCCGGCCGUUGAAACUGGGGAUCUUGAGUGGGCAAGAGGUAUGCGGAAUGCGAGGUGUAGCGGUGAAAUGCAUAGAUA
rnacentral:rRNA from 1 species